GCGCCGCGGGCUCUAAAAGCUCGACUGUCGGCCGGGCGCUGUGGCGCACGCCUGUAAUCCCAGCACUUUGGGAGGGCAAGGUGGGUGGAUCAAAGUUCGCGACCAGCCUGACCAACAUGGUGAAACUACGUCUCUACUAAAUUAGCCAGGCGUAGUGGCUCAUGCCUAUAAUCCGAGCUACUUGGGAGGCUGAGACAGGAGACUCGCUUGUACCCGGCAGGCGGAGGUUGCAGUGAGCCAAGAUUGCGCCAUUGCACUCCAGCCUCGGCAACAAGAGCGAAACUCCGUCUCAAAAAAAAAAAAAGCUCAACUGUGGGCCUGCGACCUUCACGCGCCAGCGCUGGAGAGGUGCCAGGCUCCCUGGGGCCGAGACCGGGGCAGAGGACGACACUUCGUCUGGCCGCCUAGCCUCGGCCUCUAAGCUUCCUGCAUCUUCUUCAUCGUAGGUGAUGUUGGACGUGACAGAGGAGGUGACAGGUCACCCUGAGUGCGGGACUCCGUGUCCAGAAGGAAGUGGGCCUCCAGGUGCCACGCCUUUGCUUCUGCUGUGGCAUCUGAUGAGUUCCCUGUUCAUCUCUCCAGGCAUUCCCAGGGCAGUCAGCCCUGAUGCCCAGGGGCUAGGCUUGCAAGACCGCGCAUUAGGUUCGCAGAGCUAGAGUGCAAGGCCAGACCUGGUACCAACAGCAUCUCCGCCUUCGUCCUCAUCUGGUUCCCGCCUCAAACCUGUACCUGUGCGGAGGAGCCUGGAAGGUGCGUGCUGUGAAAGUAAAUGAAUGAAUGAGGCUCCUGGGGGAUGGCGGGCGCGUGUUUGCCCCUAUAGGGCUGCUACAAUGGAAAGAGCAUUUGCUAGUUGGAUUCAUGGGUUCCAGUUCUGGUUCCAUUCAUCAUUGCUGCUUAAUAAGUUCCUCCUCCCAUCUG
rnacentral:lncRNA from 10 species